rnacentral:misc_RNA from 1 species
UUUUGCUCUUCCUCGAACCCUCAAAACUCUUCAACUUUAACAGCAUCACGAGGUAUUUCAUAUGCUACUUUCGACCUUGAUUUCUUCACUCCAGCAUUGAACCACAACUUAUCAGACUUGUAGCUCUCAACGUUGAUACUCGUGACUUUGACCCAUACUAACACCUUAGUCUUCAUUCCAUCUACUCCAGCGAGUUUUCCCCUUGACAGAGUUCCUUUAACGCGAGUAGCAUAUCUCAUAACAGAUGAAUCCUUGAAGCAGAUCUCACAGGUUGAUGGCAGGUAGACAAUGAGCUUUGAAUUUGACUCGUCGAAUUCAUAGCAUGUUAUGUUUUGGGGGAAAAGACCACAAGGCAGGUUGUAUUCUCGCAAGAGAUCUGGCAAAGAUUUUGUAGGUUUGCCUUUUAACUUGUUGAAGAUCCAUUUCGCCUUUUCUUCGACAGUGUUAGACAGAUUGGAUAGGUCAUUAGAGAUAUUGGAGAUCUCUUGUUUGGCUUUCUUCGAAACCCAGAAUGUACUUGAUUUCAAGCUCACUACUGUUGUAAGUGCUUUAUCCAUUCCAAUUUCUGUAACAACACUGAGAGCUGAUAAGGAAAAAGAGAAUCAAAAUGCAAUAAAUAUCUGUGGAUAUG